GACGAACGCUGGCGGCGUGCUUAACACAUGCAAGUCGAACGAUGAAGCCCUUUUGGGGGUGGAUUAGUGGCGAACGGGUGAGUAACACGUGGGUAACCUGCCUUGUACUCUGGGAUAAGCCUUGGAAACGAGGUCUAAUACCGGAUAUGACCUGCUCUCGCAUGGGGGUGGGUGGAAAGUUCUGGCGGUGCAGGAUGGACCCGCGGCCUAUCAGCUUGUUGGUGGGGUGAUGGCCUACCAAGGCGA
rnacentral:rRNA from 1 species